CUCAGUAGCAGGACGCACGCUUGUGGCGAAGCAGAGUCUUUUACAGCACAUAGAGCAGAGGAGCGGUACGGCGGGAGGUGACGGGACAUGAACGGUUUCUCUCUCUCUCUCUUUUUUUUAUUAUCAUCCUGUUACAUUUGUCCCUCAUUAAAGAAUAAAUAAAGAAAAGCUUCUGACCUUUGGAUUUGUUUUGGAGGAAGCCGUGGACUUUGGUUGCUGCAAAGCUCCCGCAGUAGAAGCAACCCUCGUGUGCGCAAAUUGCGCUGGGACGCAGGGAGGGAGAUUCGGGGACAGGGGAUCCUCUGUCGGAACUUGACGCACCCUGGAGCCGCUGUUCAGAUAUCGCCCGAAGCCUCCAAGCUGCGAGGCGCACGACGUAUUGAUCAAGGAGUUUGUUUACCCACUAAUUUUUGGAUGAGGUUUAUUGGCGUCUCUCCUCUAAAUGGACCAACUUAAAGGGGCUGCGCGAAGAGAAUUCUCUGAAUUUCCUCUAUGUCAUGUAGUUGCACAGUUUUCCACGCAAAUGGUUUGAUAAACGUGGUGGGAUUCCCUUUUUUUAUUUUUUGUUGUUUUUUUCUUUUCUUUAAAGACUGAAGUGUCAUUUAAUUUUUUAAUUUUUUUACUACUACCAGCGGUUUUGGGUCCUGAAGCGGUUGUGUUUUUUUUUUUGUUUGUUUUUUGUUUUUUUGGUUGUUGUUAAGGAACCGUAGCGUUUAUAUCCUACGAGGUGGAAACAUCGGACACUUACGGCGCUUCACAAGUUUUUUUCCUAAUCCAAAAUGGAUUUUGUGUCUUCGUUGAUUGGAUUUUUAAUGGCAAUGUGUCAUCUGGCGUUAAGAGUCAAGGGAGAAGAGGAGUGUGGAGGUGUCUUAGAUGCCAGUGAGGCUGGUUACAUCACCUCCCCUGGUUAUCCUCUGGAGUACCCUCCUCACCAGAACUGCCACUGGAUCAUCACUGCGCCAGAACCCUCGCAGCGCAUCGUCCUCAACUUCAACCCUCACUUUGAGAUUGAAAGGCUCGACUGCAAAUAUGACUUCAUAGAGAUCCGCGAUGGGACCUCUGAGACGGCUGAUGUUUUGGGUCGACACUGCAGCAACAUUGCUCCGGCACCGAUCAUCUCGUCCGGACCCUCGCUCCAGAUCAGAUUUGUUUCAGACUACGCCCAUCAGGGGGCGGGCUUCUCUCUGCGAUACGAGAUCUUCAAAACAGGGUCGGAAUUCUGCUUUCGCAAUUUCACCAGCCUGUCUGGUAUGAUCGAGUCCCCGGGGUUCCCAGACAAAUACCCUCACAAUCUGGAGUGCUCCUAUAUGAUCAUCGCUCCGCCCCAUAUGGAUGUCACCCUCACGUUCCUGACGUUUGAUCUCGAGAACGACCCCCUGCUAGUGGGCGAAGGCGACUGCAAGUACGACUGGUUGGACGUGUGGGAUGGCCUUCCGCAAGCAUCUCCGCUGAUAGGCCGCUACUGUGGGACAAAGAUCCCUCCAGAGAUCCAGUCCUCCUCCGGCCUGUUGUCCCUCUCUUUCCACACCGACAUGGCCGUGGCCAAAGAUGGCUUCUCUGCACGCUACAACAUGACACACAAAGAAGUCACUGACUCUUUCCACUGUAGCAUGGCGCUCGGCAUGGAGUCGGGAAAGAUUAGCGAUGAUCAAAUUACGGCCUCCACAACCUUCUAUGAUAACCGCUGGUUACCACGUCAGGCCCGCCUCAACAAUGACGACAAUGCCUGGACACCCUCAGAGGACAGCAACAAGGAGUAUAUACAGGUUGACCUCCAUUUCCUCAAAGUCUUGACCGGGAUAGCCACACAGGGGGCCAUAUCCAAGGAGACCCUUAAGUCUUACUACGUCACUACCUUCAAACUAGAGGUCAGCACCAAUGGAGAGGACUGGAUGGUGUAUCGGCAUGGCAAGAACCACAAGAUUUUCCAUGCCAACACCGACCCAACUGAGGUGGUUCUGAACCGUGUCCCACAACCGGUUUUGGCCCGCUUUGUUCGUAUCCGACCACAGAGCUGGAAGAACGGCAUUGCACUCCGCUUUGAGCUUUAUGGAUGCCAGAUUACAGAUGCUCCAUGUUCAAAUCUGCAAGGCAUGCUGUCUGGCCUGCUCCCCGAUGCCCAGAUCUCGGCUUCGUCCAGCAGGGACAUGGUGUGGAAUCCCGGGACUGCCCGUCUUGUGGCAAGUCGCUCUGGCUGGUUUCCUGCACCUGCACAUCCCCUGGCUGGAGAGGAGUGGUUACAGGUGGACUUAGGCGUGCCCAAGAUGGUUCGAGGAAUCAUUACCCAGGGAGCUCGAGGGGGAGAUGCAGGAAGUGGAGCGACCACGGACAAUAGAGCAUUUGUUAGGAAGUUCAAAGUGGCGCACAGCUUGAAUGGAAAGGAGUGGAACUUCAUAAUGGACAGCAAAACUAGCCUCCCCAAGAUCUUUGAGGGGAACACACACUGUGACACCCCAGAGCUUCGUCAUUUUGAAGAGACAGUGGCCCAGUACGUCAGGAUCUUUCCAGAGAGGUGGUCCCCAGCAGGGAUCGGGAUGAGAGUGGAGAUACUGGGAUGUGACCUUCCAGAAAUCAGCACCCCAGCAGACACUGUCACACCAACUCUGCCUUCUGACACUGAAACCACCACAGUCCCCAUCACGACGACGGUAGCUGCCUCUUCUCCAUCAGAUGGUGUGUGCGACUUUGAGAAAAACCUGUGUGGGUGGACGCAUGACCCCAACGCCCCAUUGGUCUGGUCCCUCCGCCGCCACGAGCUCAACAGCUAUCUGUAUGUGGACGCAAGCCUGAAGACAGAGCAGCAGCGAGCUCGGCUCGUGAGCCCCAUAGUGGCCGCCGACACUGGACCCCUGUGCCUCCUCUUCUCGUACCAGCUAUGGGGUGAGGCUCAGGGCCACCUGAGGGUCCUGCUGCGAGACUUCCACAAUGAGGAGACCGUCUUGUGGACGCUGAAAGAGGACCAAAGCACCGUGUGGAAGGAGGGUCGAACCAUCCUUCCACGCUCUCCUAAAGACUUUCAGGUUGUGAUGGAGGGUUUCUUUGUGCACGGCACCAGAGGACACAUCUGGAUAGACAACAUUCACAUGAGCUUGAGCACCCCCCUGACAGAGUGUACACAACCCAUCGCAGCAUUUUCUCCUGAAAAUCCAGGGGGAGGCGUUCCUGUGCCUCCCUUACCCAUCCACUGGUAUUACAUUAUGGCCGCCGGAGGCGCCCUCCUUCUCCUGGCAGUAGCCAUCUUGGUCAGAGCUCUCUGUUGCUGUCGACAACACCUGGCCACGAAGAAGAGCCAGCUGUCUGUGGCCUAUCACAGCUCCUCGCAGUGCUUCCAGUAUUCUAACUGGUCCACCAGUAUGGCCACCCCAGGGGUGGAGCCAGUCCUGACGGUGAGGUUGGACAGCCGGGACCGACACCGUACCCUCUGCUAAAAGGAAGCACUUUGCUAUUGCACCUACUUGGCAGACAUGGAUGCCAAAUUCUGAUGUUGGGGGCAGUGUGAGUCAUGAUGGCACAGGAUUGACUACUACCCUUCGGGGAGCCCUCCUUUUAGUUUACAGCUGCGAUGGUGAUGAUGACACUAAGUGAGAAUGUGCAAAGAAACACUGUGGUUUCUCUCUCUGUGUAUCUAACGAAUGUGGCUUCGGUUGACGUUUUCUUCUCCGUUCCAUUAAGGAGUUUGCUCUUGACAUUUCAUACUACGCUGCUCCUGAUGAGAGGAAUGAAGUCUAAGUAAGUUAUUUUUUCUGAACAGCUUGAUUCGGAUCAUUGAGUGCCGCCUGGCUCCUCAUAACCUCCUGGAAUGACCCCAGCUUGGACAUAUACAAAGACAUGUGUGGGCUGAGGAGGAGGAAGGGGGGGAAAAGAGGAUGGUCGAGCUGGUUCUGCUGCAAGAGCCAGCCAGAGCUGCCAAACCACAAGGCUAAAACAAGACCCCAGAGACACAAGGAGCUCUGCAGCUCUGAGAACGAGAGGAGAAAACUGUUAGGCUCGGAGGCAUUUAGUGUGCUGUAGCUGUGAAAAUGAUCUGGCAAGCCUCAGAAAAUAAUGUUUGUGGUGUCUCUAAUAACAGCACAGGAUAGCUGCAAUGUGAGUUGUGCCAAUACUGAGGGUAACAGAUUGGAAGAAAAAAGUCUUCAUUGUCCUUUUCAAUAGAGCAUGUGCACAUUUAAAAACAAAGGAAUGCAAAUCCAUCAUACUUAAAGCCCUGCAUCACAAAUGGAGAUAACCAGCUCAUUUGAUUGAACGUCUCAUCCUCUCCUGAUAAAGGCAUCAGUCAGUGAUGGAUGCAGCCGUCUUCAGUGUUUAGUGUCUCAUCUUGAUUCUCUGCUGUAAUAAAGCACGUUGUUCCACCCCCCAUUUAUGCUUCAUACCACCCACUCCAGUUGUUCCCCUUGUCUUUGAGCUGCCCUGAUGAAAGCCAUGCCGAGCCAAGCCUUGUCGUGUUUUCAGUCUGAAUGUGUGCUUGUUGUUUUUAGGGUUGUAAAUAGGCACAGCUGUCUGCCAUCACCACUUCUUCCUUGAUUUAUAUACUCCUACAAAUCCCACAAUGCCACUGGACCAGCUGGACACCAUAAGUGAAGUGUGGCUGUAUAUUUGCACCCUUGAGAGUGAUCCAAGAUGUUAUGAAACCAAGAUCAGUGGCAGUAAAUUAAGACAAAACUGAAGCACGUUUUACUCAUAUUUUAAACAUCUGGGGUCUAUGGCGUAUUUUAUUGGAAUAUUUUUGUAAAAAUAUGCCUGAGAAAGACAAAUCGGUAGCAAUUUCUCUCCCAUUAGUUCAUACAGAGGUGGUAAAAUUUGACACAAGCUCAGCUGGUUUGAAUGAAAUGGAGGUUGUCAUUGUUUGGCUUAACGGAACAUUUAUUUCUGGUUGUCACAGCUGCAAAAAUCCAUCACCUGCUACCCCACAGCUCAGCAGAAUGCACCUCAAUUUGUUGACACAAUUACAAAGCUGCACUUUUCUCUCCAGAGUAGAAAAAAACUGUGUGUUUUUGGCACACUCUCACUUUUUGCUUUUAAAUCAACUCGGGGAGGCGAGAGAUUGGACACCCUACUUUAUCCAUCUUGACACCAUUACGCACCAAGCUUCUAAUAGUUGUAAUUAGUUAAUGGACAGAUAACAUUUAUUAAGGCUGCAGUAAGCACUUUUCCCUUCCAUCUACAGUGGCUGUAUCACCCAGUCCGCUGCCAACUUCCGUUGCCCUGGAAACCGUAUUAAUAAUGCCAUUGGCUAUCAAAGACUACCAGAUCUAGACAUGUGCCUUGCCAAGCAGUUACUCCCACUCCUGAAUGCUUGCCAAGAGCAGCCGACACACACUCCAACAUAGAGACACAAAGUAAAAAGAAAACUUGUGUAAAGAUGAAGUAUACUUGAUGCUGGGCUCACCUUAAGUGCUGCAGCCAUUAUUCCCACACUUGUCUUCUUAUCCACUCACACACAAAUGUUUUUAGUUCACAGAAAGCAUCAGGACAUGUGUUGCCAUUACUUAUUGUCCUUAAAGUCAUCAAAUAUAACACUUAAACUUGACAGAGAUGACUUCAACAGUGAUGUUGUUUUGUUUCUUUUGCAUUUGUAUGUACACAGAAUGAGCAGUCUUAUACCAUCAGUGUUUUACGUGAUGACUGUGUGUUGACUGGAAUGUACCUUAAUGAUCUUUCUCUAUUAAUAAAGUGAUAUUUUUCUAUUAUUAAAAGUGUGUGUAUGUGUUUUUGGGUCUUGAAAUUGUACACCAUAAAACAAGUAAUUGUAAAUAAAACUAACAUAGGACAUUAAAUGAUUAUUUAUCAAUUAAUAUUGAACAAAUGGUUCAUUUUUUUCCAUAUAAAUGGCAUUUAAGUGUAAUUUUUAGUUGGAGUUGUAGUUUUAUAAACAUUUUAACAAACGUUAGACAUGUUCUUCCUUUGAUGCAGUACUUUUCCACCACAUUUCAGUAAAUUUAGCUUAGUGGUCUUCGUGAAAUCUCCCUCACAAAUGGCAUCACAUGCCUCUGCCUUGACUAGCAUGGUGGGAGAAUAAAGCCAUCUAACAACUUAAUAUCCUUUCGUGCAUUUUUUGUGUUUAUGUGUAAUUAUGUGUAAAUUGGCUUGCAGCUAAAACUCAGCAUGUGCCUUGCUUCUCUUUAACAGUUAAAAGACCCAAUGAAUUUGGAGAUGGGCGACUUUUCAGUGGCAGAGACCCACAAGGCGGAGGUUUGCAAUUCCAUGAGUGGAACACACCAUCUCCAUCUGAGCCUCCGGUGACACACGUCUCGGAUAAGGACAACUCAUGGUUGUAC